rnacentral:rRNA from 1 species
GGCAUUUUAACACAUAAAAUGCCCGCCAGAAAAUUACGAGCGAAAAGCUUAAAACUCAAAGGACUUGGCGGUGCUCCACACCCGACUUAGAGGAGCCUGUCCUAUAAUCGAUACUCCACGCUAAACCCCACCAUUCAUUGCUUUAAACAGCCUAUAUACCUCCGUCGCCAACUUACCCCAUGAGGGUCAAACAGUAAGUACAACAGUAUUUUUACUAAAACGUCAGGUCAAGGUGUAGCUAAUAGAAUGGCAGAGAUGGGCUACAUUUUUUAAAAUAAAAAAACGGCACGAAACUAUGAAAUAAGUUUCCGAAGGAGGAUUUAAUAGUAAAAUUAUUAAGAAAACUAAUUU